rnacentral:rRNA from 1 species
AGAGCGAACGCUGGCGGCAGGCCUAACACAUGCAAGUCGAACGGACUCUUCGGAGUUAGUGGCGGACGGGUGAGUAACACGUGGGAACGUGCCUUUUGGUUCGGAGUAGCUCCUGGAAACGGGUGGUAAUGCCGAAUGUGCCCUUCGGGGGAAAGAUUUAUCGCCAUUAGAGCGGCCCGCGUCUGAUUAGCUAGUUGGUGAGGUAAAGGCUCACCAAGGCUACGAUCAGUAGCUGGUCUGAGAGGAUGACCAGACCACUACUUGGGACUGAGACCGACCGGACCCAAACUCCGUAACGGGGAGGCGAGACGAGGUGGGGGAA